rnacentral:rRNA from 1 species
AACGCUAGCUACAGGCUUAACACAUGCAAGUCGAGGGGCAGCAGGGAUUUAGCUUGCUAAAUUCGCUGGCGACCGGCGCACGGGUGCGUAACGCGUAUCCAACUUUCCCGUUACUCAGGGAUAGCCUUCCGAAAGGGAGAUUAAUACCUGAUGGUGUUUGAAAUCCGCAUGUUCUUCAAACUAAAGAUUUAUCGGUAACGGAUAGGGAUGCGUGACAUUAGAUAGUAGGCGGGGUAACGGCCCACCUAGUCUACGAUGUCUAGGGGUUCUGAGAGGAAGGUCCCCCACACUGGAACUGAGACACGGUCCAGACUCCUACGGGAGGCAGCAGUGAGGAAUAUUGGUCAAUGGUCGGAAGACUGAACCAGCCAAGUAGCGUGAAGGAUGAAGGUUCUAUGGAUUGUAAACUUCUUUUAUAUAGGAAUAAAACCUCCCACGUGUGGGAGCUUGUAUGUACUAUAUGAAUAAGCAUCGGCUAACUCCGUGCCAGCAGCCGCGGUAAUACGGAGGAUGCGAGCGUUAUCCGGAUUUAUUGGGUUUAAAGGGAGCGUAGACGGGAUGUUAAGCCAGCUGUGAAAGUUUGGGGCUCAACCUUAAAAUUGCAGUUGAUACUGGCGUCCUUGAGUGCGGUUGAGGUAUGUGGAAUUCGUGGUGUAGCGGUGAAAUGCUUAGAUAUCACGAAGAACUCCGAUUG